GUCCACGCCUUAAACGAUGAAUACUAGACGUUGGGGUUAAACUCAGUGUCGCAGCUAACGCAUUAAGUAUUCCACCUGGGGAGUACGAUCGCAAGGUUGAAACUCAAAGGAAUUGACGGGGGCCCGCACAAGCAGUGGAGCAUGUGGUUCAAUUCGAUGCAACGCGAAGAACCUUACCUAGGCUUGACAUGCUAGCUAAAGCGAAUGAAAGUUCGUGUCCCGCAAGGGGAGCUAGUACAGAUGCUGCAUGGCUGUCGU
rnacentral:rRNA from 1 species